rnacentral:rRNA from 1 species
UUUGGGGCUUAUAAAAAUUAUUAGAGUUAGUUAGGCGUGAAAUAUAAAUUAGUUACCGAUAAUAAAAGGUGAAAUUAGGUUGUUAUUAAGUAAAAUAAAUAUAUUGAGGCUGAAGCUAGAAAAGUCUAAAUAAAAACUAGGAUUAGAUACCCUAUUAUUUUAGAAUUAAAUGUAAUAUAACUCUAGGUAAGUAGUAGAUAAGUACUUAAAAAUUAAAAAAUUUGGCGGUGAUUUAAUCUUUUUAGAGGAACUUGUUUUUUAAUCGAUAAACCACGUUCAAUCUUACUUGUUUUAGUAGAUCAGUAUGUAUACCAUCAUUAGCAGGUAAUUUUAAAAGGAAAAAUUACUAAAAAUAAUUAAUUACAUAAAUUAGAUCAUGGUGCAGCUUAUAAACAAGGUAAAAUGAGUUACAAUAAAGUAUUUUAGAUGAAUUGAUAAGGGAAUCCUUAUUAUAAAGGUGGAUUUAAUUGUAAAUGUGGAUUAAUAAGCUUAUUUGAUAUUGGUGCUAAAUCAUGUACAUAUCGCCCGUCGCUUUCGCUAACCGAAAUAAGUCGUAACAUA